GAUGAACGCUGGCGGCGUGCCUAAUACAUGCAAGUCGAGCGAACAGAUGAGGAGCUUGCUCCUCUGACGUUAGCGGCGGACGGGUGAGUAACACGUGGAUAACCUACCUAUAAGACUGGGAUAACUUCGGGAAACCGGAGCUAAUACCGGAUAAUAUAUUGAACCGCAUGGUUCAAUAGUGAAAGACGGUUUUGCUGUCACUUAUAGAUGGAUCCGCGCCGCAUUAGCUAGUUGGUAAGGUAACGGCUUACCAAGGCAACGAUGCGUAGCCGACCUGAGAGGGUGAUCGGCCACACUGGAACUGAGACACGGUCCAGAGGACUACGGGAGGCAGCAGUAGGGAAUCGUCCGCAAUGGGCGAAAGCCUGACGGAGCAACGCCGCGUGAGUGAUGAAGGUGUUCGGAUCGUAAAACUCUGUUAUUAGGGAAGAACAAAUGUGUAAGGAAAUAUGCACGUCUUGACGGUACCUAAUCAGAAAGCCACGGCUAACUACGUG
rnacentral:rRNA from 1 species